AGCGAACGCUGGCGGCAGGCUUAACACAUGCAAGUCGAGCGCCCCGCCAGGGGAGCGGCAGACGGGAGAGUAACACGUGGGAACAUACCUUUUGGUUCGGAACAACUGAGGGAAACUUCAGCUAAUACCGGAUAAGCCCUUACGGGGAAAGAUUUAUCGCCGAAAGAUUGGCCCGCGUCUGAUUAGCUAGUUGGUGAGGUAACGGCUCACCAAGGCGACGAUCAGUAGCUGGUCUGAGAGGAUGAUCAGCCUCACUGGGACUGAGACACGGCCCAGACUCCUACGGGAGGCAGCAGGGGGGAAUAUUGGACAAUGGGGGCAACCCUGAUCCAGCCAUGCCGCGUGAGUGAUGAAGGCCUUAGGGUUGUAAAGCUCUUUUGCCCGGGAAGAUAAUGACGGUACCGGGAGAAUAAGCCCCGGCUAACUUCGUG
rnacentral:rRNA from 1 species